rnacentral:rRNA from 1 species
AGUGAACGCUGGCGGUAGGCCUAACACAUGCAAGUCGAACGGCAGCACAGUAAGAGCUUGCUCUUACGGGUGGCGAGUGGCGGACGGGUGAGGAAUACAUCGGAAUCUACUUUUUCGUGGGGGAUCACGUAGGGAAACUUACGCUAAUACCGCAUACGACCUACGGUUGAAAGCAGUGGAUCUUCGGACCUUGCGCGAUUGAAUGCGCCGAUGUCGGAUUAGCUAGUUGGCGGGGUAAAGGCCCACCAAGGCGACGAUCCGUAGCUGGUCUGAGAGGAUGAUAAGCCACACUGGAACUGAGACACGGUCCAGACGCCUACGGGAGGCAGCAGUGGGGAAUAUUGGACAAUGGGCGCAAGCCUGAUACAGCCAUACCGCGUGGGUGAAGAAGGCCUUCGGGUUGUAAAGCCCUUUUGUUGGGAAAGAAAAGCAGCAGGUUAAUACCCCGCUGUUCUGACGGUACCCAAAGAAUAAGCACCGGCUAACUUCGUG